rnacentral:rRNA from 1 species
GGAUGACGGCCUUCGGGUUGUAAACCUCUUUCAGCAGGGAAGAAGCGAAAGUGACGGUACCUGCAGAAGAAGCGCCGGCUAACUACGUGCCAGCAGCCGCGGUAAUACGUAGGGCGCAAGCGUUGUCCGGAAUUAUUGGGCGUAAAGAGCUCGUAGGCGGCUUGUCGCGUCGGUUGUGAAAGCCCGGGGCUUAACCCCGGGUCUGCAGUCGAUACGGGCAGGCUAGAGUUCGGUAGGGGAGAUCGGAAUUCCUGGUGUAGCGGUGAAAUGCGCAGAUAUCAGGAGGAACACCGGUGGCGAAGGCGGAUCUCUGGGCCGAUACUGACGCUGAGGAGCGAAAGCGUGGGGAGCGAACAGGAUUAGAUACCCUGGUAGUCCACGCCGUAAACGGUGGGCACUAGGUGUGGGGGACAUUCACGUCUUCCGUGCCGUAGCUAACGCAUUAAGCGCCCCGCCUGGGGAGUACGGCCGCAAGGCUA